AGAGUUUGAUCCUGGCUCAGGACGAACGCUGGCGGCACGCUUAACACAUGCAAGUCGAACGAGAGAAGAGGAGCUUGCUUUUCUGAUCUAGUGGCGGACGGGUGAGUAACACGUGAGCAAUCUGCCUUUCAGAGGGGGAUACCGAUUGGAAACGAUCGUUAAUACCGCAUAACAUAAUUGAACCGCAUGAUUUGAUUAUCAAAGAUUUAUCGCUGAAAGAUGAGCUCGCGUCUGAUUAGCUAGUUGGUAAGGUAACGGCUUACCAAGGCGACGAUCAGUAGCCGGACUGAGAGGUUGAUCGGCCACAUUGGGACUGAGACACGGCCCAGACUCCUACGGGAGGCAGCAGUGGGGAAUAUUGCACAAUGGAGGAAACUCUGAUGCAGCGAUGCCGCGUGAGGGAAGAAGGUUUUAGGAUUGUAAACCUCUGUCUUAGGGACGAAAAAAGACGGUACCUGAGGAGGAAGCUCCGGCUAACUACGUGCCAGCAGCCGCGGUAAUACGUAGGGAGCGAGCGUUGUCCGGAAUUACUGGGUGUAAAGGGAGCGUAGGCGGGAUCGCAAGUCAGAUGUGAAAACUAUGGGCUUAACCCAUAAACUGCAUUUGAAACUGUGGUUCUUGAGUGAAGUAGAGGUAAGCGGAAUUCCUAGUGUAGCGGUGAAAUGCGUAGAUAUUAGGAGGAACAUCAGUGGCGAAGGCGGCUUACUGGGCUUUAACUGACGCUGAGGCUCGAAAGCGUGGGGAGCAAACAGGAUUAGAUACCCUGGUAGUCCACGCCGUAAACGAUGAUUACUAGGUGUGGGGGGACUGACCCCUUCCGUGCCGCAGCAAACGCAAUAAGUAAUCCACCUGGGGAGUACGACCGCAAGGUUGAAACUCAAAGGAAUUGACGGGGGCCCGCACAAGCAGUGGAGUAUGUGGAUUAAUUCGAAGCAACGCGAAGAACCUUACCAGGUCUUGACAUCGUAUGCAUAGCUCAGAGAUGAGUGAAAUCUCUUCGGAGACAUAUAGACAGGUGGUGCAUGGUUGUCGUCAGCUCGUGUCGUGAGAUGUUGGGUUAAGUCCCGCAACGAGCGCAACCCUUACUGUUAGUUGCUACGCAAGAGCACUCUAGCAGGACUGCCGUUGACAAAACGGAGGAAGGUGGGGAUGACGUCAAAUCAUCAUGCCCCUUAUGACCUGGGCCUCACACGUACUACAAUGGCUGUCAACAGAGGGAAGCAAAGCCGCGAGGUGGAGCGAACCCCUAAAAGCAGUCUUAGUUCGGAUUGUAGGCUGCAACCCGCCUACAUGAAGUCGGAAUUGCUAGUAAUCGCAGAUCAGCAUGCUGCGGUGAAUACGUUCCCGGGCCUUGUACACACCGCCCGUCACGCCAUGGGAGUCGGUAACACCCGAAGCCUGUAGUCUAACCGCAAGGAGGACGCAGUCGAAGGUGGGAUUGAUGACUGGGGUGAAGUCGUAACAAGGUA
rnacentral:rRNA from 1 species